GCCACAAGACUCAUGUCUCUGGGGCCACACAUGGAGCAGGGAAGAGGUACAGCUGCUGCGGCUGCCGUGUCCCUUGGCAGAGGCACUGCCUGUUUGUUUGUCCUCCCUAUUGUUUGUGCACAGGAACCACAAAAGGAGCCGCAGGGCUGGACUGGGGAGAGCUGCCCUCCUUCAGCCAUGGACACAUAAAUCAGCCGUGGGGAUGCUCUAUCUGAGCUCUCCUGGUGUUGUGUGGUCAGAAGCACUUGCUCUGGAUUGCCACUUCCAUGCUGGAUGGGACAUUUGCAACUCUUGAUGAUCAUGAUCAGAUGGAGACCUGGUGGAAAUGUGCAGAGCUUAUGUGAUCUCUGUAAGACAGAUUGAGCUGGUCCAAUGUGGAAGGAACAGAUGAAAUAGGAGGUGGAAAGAAAUUCUGUAAAUGUUUGGGCCCAUGAGAAGUUUCAUUUUUGAUAGGGCUCACACAUCUGGGCUGCAUUUUAAGAAAGAGAUGACAAAGAAAACCAACAAAAUGGAUUUCUCCCCAGGACAGAGAGGUGAAUGGAUGCUCAGUAGCACCAACCUGCACAUCUGAGAUGUCACUUGACCACCAUAACCUGGAACGGUCCCUGGAAGGUCUGCAGCCCACCCUGCCCACCGACCCUGCUCACCGCGCCCUGCUACACCGCCAUGCCUUCAGCACCCAGCUGGGGACGUGACCUUGGACUAAGGGCAUCUCUUUUGCAUCUCCCACGAAAUUCUCACCAGCCUUGACGUAUCCUGUUAGAAUAUUUCAUCCCCUUCCUCUGAAAAUCAAGCCUUGCUGGUCAAAAGAUAAGGAACUGGAUAUAAGCAGUUGGGGAGUUAAGAAGACCCUGAGUGGAUUUGGUGUCUUGGGAUACCUCGGGCUUUACUAGUGGCAGGUUACAUGAAGGGGACUGAAUUCUUUCAUGGUAUUUUGCUGUUCACCGAAAAAUAUGUAUGGGUCAUUGGCAUCCCAAAUCUUACGUUUAAUCUUUUUCCCAUGCAAACUUUCCUAAAGGCCUUGGCAGAAUUUUCUCUUUCUCCUUGAGGUUUUUGGAGGACAUGAGAGAACUCUAACAUUUCAGAUGCUUUAAAAAUACACCCUGGACCAUGCAGAAUAUAACCUUAACAUUUCCUUCCUGUAGCAAAUUUCUUCUUUUUCAACAUUCAAUGAAGCUACUCAGCUUGCUUUUAUUUUUUGGCCUGAAUGGGACACAGAGAAUUGCAGAUAUGAGCUCCAGAUUAGAUGCUGAUACAAUGCAAACAUACUACAGAGGAAAUACUGGUGGGGUCAGGUUCCCUCCUUAGAUUGUAUCUUUGCAGUGGGUUGCUCAGCGUGGUAACUCAAUCUUAUUUAACAGUUCCCUUCAAACCAAGGUGAUUCUGUUUUCCAAAGCAUUAAAAAGCUGAAGCUAAUUGCAUCUUUAUUUCAUUAAAUAUCCAGAACAUUGCACAUAUAUUUCAGGAAAUGGUAUGACUGGAUUUACAAACAUAACACCACAUGUGCAGUGUCCAUGAAAGCAAUUUCAUAAACAUUUCUUUGCUGCUUCCAGCUCACUGCCUAUAUUUUCAGCAGGGCUUGGUGAAAAGAUGCUACCACAAAACUAUGCUUUGUGCUGCUUUCCUCCAGGAAAGCCAAGCAGUCCCAGACAUCUGUCUCCUGGAUAAUGGGUCUCUUUAGAGAGCUUUGAGACCAGCAGCCCAGGGGAGGUUUGAAGUGGACUGGAGAGUAUCUGCCAGGGAGGAGGGAAGAGAUCUCAGAAAAACACUCUGGGCAUGGGACUGGAGAGAGACCAUUUCACAGCUAGAUGCUGCCUUCUGAGAUAUGGAGAAGUGCAGCAACCCACACAUUACUGUUGGGCAGGAGUAAUGUGGUGGGGAGGAACAGGGGAGAGCAGUGAGCUGUACAAAAUGAACUGCUGUCUCUAGCACCAGGGUGUAGAUUUGCUAUCCCUGAGCUGGAUAAAGAGACUGAUAUCAACAAAAUGAUGCACAAAGCAUCUCUAGAAGCCUAGACUCCUGUUAGGACCUGUCAUAGCCCCCCUGGUCAGGACAGCAGUGUAUGAUUCAAACAGUUUCUUGCCCAGAAGAUCCAGUCUCUCUCUCCCUACAUAAACAGGGAGCAGCUAAAACAGAACUCAACAGCAAGUGGUCCGAACUGCCACCUCUUCUUUCCAUGCAAUGUACUGGAAGCUGCAGCUCUGGAUAACAGUUGGUGUGACUUGGCCAUCACCGUCCUGAACGUCGGUGUGAGCCUGUGCAGUGUGAACAUGGCAUAGGAUUGCUAAAUCUGGAAAAUCUGCUUCAUGACCCAAAGUCUUACAGCUGUGUGAUGGAGUAAAUGCUCUGGGAAGGACAGCGGCGUCUCACUCAGGUGGUCUUCUCCGACGAAGCCCCCUGCCAGGCACUGCUUCCUGAGAGGGAACAAGAGGAAGGUGUGGGGCCGAGUUUACAGCUCUAUGUAACAGCAGAUCAGAAAAACAGUCUGUUUUCUCUUAUCUAGGCUGUUCUGAUCAUCAAAAACGAUUCAUCUUGAAACCCCUUAGGCUCAUGAAGAGACUGUGACCAGUUCAGAUCUUGAGACCAAGUUUGACUGAUGGUAGUUGUAGCAGUUCUUCAGGAAUUGUAUUCCUAAAUACAUUUCUCUAAAGGCUUUCUGGGCACUUCCAAGGUCUUGGGAAGGCAGAAGGCAGCAUGCACCACCCCACCUCAGAAAAGAGUAUUUGGGUAAAUUGCAGCUUAGAACAAUGGGAUUUGACUGUGAGCAGAAAUUAUAUAUUUGGCAUGAAGGGCAUUGCCAUUACCACACGGGUAUGGACAACCCCAGCCAGGCAGACAAGACUCAAAAGGAACAAGUGAUUAAAUACAGACCUGGAAGGUUUACUACCUUUAAUGUAACUCACACUGAAUUAUUGUUAUUUGUUGCCUGGUUUCUAAGACUCUACAUUUGUCUCAUGUUUUAGAUCUUCUUCCAGUCUCCAGGGAUGGAAAACAGAGAGCUGAGAUUCUUGGGCCAUCCCUUGAUGGCCAGAGGGGAUGCACAUUGUGAUUCUGGGGCUGGGGAUUUUCAAAAAAACCGCCAAAUAUUACAAGAGUGAGGAUAAAAGUCUGAGAUGAGCUCUCAGAAGUCUCAUAAUUUUGCUGUUUGCCUCCAGUCUUCAGCUCCUGGAGCCUUGCCAUUAGGUGAAAGCACUGAUUUCCAUGCUUUUAUUGAGUAUAUUUCUAUCACAGUGGUGGAGACAAACAGCAUGUGCAGGGUAGGGCCACCUGAUACCACCAUCCAUCCUAAAGCCUGAAGCAAGUUAAAUGAACCAAUGACGUACAUUUCUGCUUAAGGUCCCUAUUUAGGAAUUUUUUAUAGCCCCUCUUACAGGCAGAAUCUGAUCACUUUGUGCUCUCAAUAUUGGUCCCACUGGCCUAAACCUCUGUGCAUUUCAGCUUUGGUGCUCGUGCUCUGGGGAGAUUUGGGCAGGAGCCCAUCACAUCCCUCACCUUGCCAUGGGACGGGGUGCUGGUGAGAUGCAUUGCCACCUCCUCCUCCUCACGUCAAGGCUGCAGACUCCAGAUGUUCAGUGCUGGGACUGCUCCGCAGCCUCCUUCAGCACUGCAGUCAUUACCCCCCACUAGAAACAUAAGCAAAUGUAAUCAAAUAAAUAUUCCCUUUCUCCCUCCCAAGCCUUCUCUUAGCAAAAAGUCACCACCUUAAAAAAAAAAUUUUUUUUAAAAUCAAAUCAGCUGCUCUCUCCAAGCAAAGCUGGUGUUUAUUGCCUGGCCAAGGCUGACAAAACCCUUCCCUGUUUUUUAAUCAACAUGAAAAACGCCCCUUCCCUACCCACCAGCUCAGCCUCCCAUCCGUGACAGCCCCCUUCCCUCUCCCAAACAGGCAACAGAUUUCAAUUUAGCUUUGAGCGAGGGAAGCUCAAUUGGGUUAUUAAAUUUCACACACUAAUUGACACGCCUGCCGUAAAAUAUAACUUGCACAAACACAAUUUAUACUAAUGACGCAGGGGGUGAAGCUUUCUGCUUCCAGUGCCCCUCUCGUUCCCCUCUCCCCCAGCUCCCAUGGGAAACCGGCUUAAUUGCACCUCCAGCGCAGGGGCGGUUAGCAGGGGUGGGAGGUUAAAGAGAAAUAAAUACUGAAACGCUGAUGGGAUGUUUCCUGUUUUGGCAGCGAUGCGGUGUGCAGGUUUCGGACCAUGCUCCUCUUCCCGGUGCCGCUGGAUGUGCCCAGGCACACCUCCCCAUGCACGCCGCGCUUCGACUUCAUAAAUCCUUAAUGGCAACAGAUUAACCUCAGCCGGGUCCCCUGGCACGAGUUAACCACUGAUGUUUUACAGAUACGUUUCUGCAAGCCUGUUUGGAGAUCUUCAUUUCCCCAUGAUGGACAGGCUGGCAGCCCUCCAUCGCUAUCCGAACGGUUGUCCUCCACCUCUUAUUUCUGUUGGGGAAAACCCUACGACAGACAAAUUCAUGCCCAGGAGUUUCCCUCCUCGCUGCUCCAUCGCAGAGCGUCAGACACAAAUCUCCCAGCACAGUUUUCCUCCAGUUUUCCCCCAUGACAGCUAACUGGAUAAAAGCAAUUUGACAAAGUGUCCGCAGUGCUCUGUCGAACCAGAGGGCAGGGGCGGAUGCCGACGAGGCUCCUGGGAGCAGCAGUACUGGCUCUGCUGCUUCCCCAAAAUUGCUUUCCCCACAAAAGUUAAAGCACAGCCACAGGUUUUUUUCUUCUUCUGGAAGAUGUUUUUAAAUAAUUGAUGACAGAAUCUUUGCAAUGCCUUGCAGUUUAGCUGAUUCUGUUCUGUAGUUGCCCUAACAAUUUAAAAUAGAUGCUCUUUUUCGAUAAAUAAAUAAACAAAUAGUUUUAAAAUUAGACUUUUUCCAAACAUGCACUUGUUUUCACAUUUUCAAUUCCACUCCCCAGGUCCAGGGUUGCUGGACAACAAGGAAUGGAGUUGACAUCCUUAGUAUGGGGAUGCUAUUAUAGUAAGGCCAUAUUCCAGUAAGAGAUGGGGCUGCGCAGCUGAUUGUAGAUAUACGUUGGAGCUGCAUAGCUGGGCUAUAGUAUGACAUCUUCGCAUAAGUCAUACCAUCCUUCUGAAGUAAGAGUCAAGUGACUCGCAGAGCCAUAGUCUAACUUUAGCUGUGUCUGAAUCACAAUGUCAGAAUUCAAAAUUUGUUGUGCGUGCCAGUGACUAGGAAAAAAUUGAGUCCCUUUAGUGACUUUCUCCUGCGUGUCUUUUCAUGGAAAAAUCUUCCUGACUAUAUACAGAAAUAACAGUUUGCAGGGCCAGGGAAGGUAUAGGCUCUUCAUGCCUUCUUAUUCCUGAGCUUUGAUGAAAAGACGCCAAGAAGUUACUGGAGGGGGAAAUAAUCCAAAAUAUCCAGGCUGGACCUAGCAGUGAUUUAAACCUGAAACUUGUGCUCAAGAGGAGUUCUUCAUGCCAUGAGGCAAUACUCAACAUCUGAGGGACACCAACCCACUGGAGGAUGAAUAUGUCACCAUUCCUGUACUGCUGUGUGCCCCUUCGCAGCUGCCAACCUGGGGCAAACCCGAAACAUGGCUGGGCACUGGGUCCUGCCUGGGCAUGGCCCCAUUUUCUGGAGGGAGGGAUGGAAUUCAGCCAGACAUCAUCUCUUUUGCCCACCCAGGGAGACGGCAAGGCUCGGACCCCACUGCUUCAGCCACUCAUUAAUGCAGAGCAUGGAUUUCAUUACACUGAUCGCUCAAUUCUGUUAUUAACAAGGCAUAAAUCUCCGCAUUAGUCACUCUCAGCCUUCAGGUCACAACCCCUGGGAGAGGUCGGCAGCGGAUGCCCAGCCCAGGUCAUGGCCCUCAACCCAUUACCUGUCCCGUUAACUGGGGCUGCAGAGAUGGGCUGGGGGACAAAUAUUGGGGCUGGCUGCCCCCUUUACACCCAUUGCCAGCUUUUCCUUACACAUUACUCUGCAGGAGCUUUAUAGACUUUCCCAGACAUGACUGCAAUUCUGGGGUCUCAACACCACAGUCCUGAGCAGGGUCUCAGGGAAGCACAGAAAUUAGUCUGACCACAUUCACCAAAGCCAUGCCUCCCACCCUCAGGACCUCCCAAAACCUCCCUGCUCCUGCAGUGUCCCAGAAGAAAUAGGAAUUAAUACAAACACAGAGAGGCAACAGAUACCUGCCACCAGCCUGCUUCUUCCUCUUGGUUUUCCUACCAGCUUCCUUCUUCCCUGUUGCUUUUUCCCCUUCUUUUGCUCUGAGCCCAGCACUGGAUCAAGUUAUUUGAUGUCCCUCAAAGAUUUUAUUAUCAGAGACGGCAGCAAACAGCUAUUGAACUUCAUGCACUGCUCAUAUUCCUCCUCCAGUCAUGUCUCCCCCCCCGGCUGAAGAGCCCCCAGAGCCCGUCUCACACCUCGCAGUCCCUGCUAGAUCACACCUCUUUUCUAGCCCCCAAAAAUAUUUGGGGCUAGAAAAGACCUGUUUCCUGCUGUAUUGACUCUGAAUUUCUUUCAGCAGGUAGAUCCGGGUGUGCUGUGUCCCUGGCAACACCGGCAGCUAUCCCAGAGAGCAAACAAGGACACGUGCAAUAGCCCUGUCGAGUUAUGGCACGUUAUCGGGUCACAGCUUUGAACAGCUCCAGGGCACCGUGGGAUGGGAGUCCCCCUGU